UAGCAUUUAGUAAGUUGGCUACGCUUUUAGGAUCAAGGCGUUCAUUACCAAUUGGGGGUUCCACUAAUUCGUCAGCAUUUUCCGAAGUAUUAUGGGCACCAUCGUUGUUGGACGGAUUAAAGGUACUUUGAGACGACCCGUCAAAGCUGGAUGAGUAGCCAGGUCUUUUGCGAUUAGUCCAAGCAUCUUGAUUAGUUUUUUGACUAGGAGGUGGAUUGCUUAACCGACGUGGAUAUUCCUCUCUUCCAAGUCUCGACAAUCCACCAAAAGGAUCAAUGUUGCGGAUAUGGGGACGGAUGGAUUCCAUUAUGGACAAAAGACGUCUUUCAUAGUAAGCUUCUUUCUCCACAUACUCUCGAAUUGCCUUCUGUAAGGAAACAGAAGUUUUUUUAGUAUACGUUUUUGAUUCUUUAACCAAGUUUAAGGUAACAAAAUCCACUUUAUCCGACAACAACUUUUCAUGAACACGUGCAACCUCAAGGGCUUGUAAAGCAUCAUCUGUACGAGCUUUACUUAUUUUUGGGCUAUCUUGUAAACGGUUGGCAGCCGAAAGAUAGGAAUUAGUCUGAUUUUUACUACUUAUCAGAUCGCGCAUAAGGAUAUGCCUGUUCGAUAAAAUUUCCUAAUUCCAGUAAGUUUAAAUUACAAAAAAAUCGAAGUUUUUACCUUUACAACAAAUGCGUUAUCGGAAGCAUAACACAGAGAAUCAGCUAAUGUUACAAGCUGUUUGCUGGAUUGCAUAAUUCGAACAUCUGAAAUAGCUUGUAGCAUCUUUCCAACCCUGUUCAAUGCAUUUGCUAAUCCAUUGUGCUGUUCCUCGACCGAAUAAUCGAUCAAAGAUUGUCCCAAAUCAGCAUGUGUUAAUGCCAAAGCUAUGUCGAAAAGUUAGCAAUUAUGUAAAAAAUAUUUUUUUUACGUACAUUGUUUUCGAUUAACGAGUUUUUCAAGUUUAAUUUCUGCGUCCUUUGCAUUUUUGUAAAAAGAUUUAACGAUAGGUCGUAAAUUAGCAAGAGCCUGACAAGGAUCUGGUGGCAAAGGAAACUGUUUUAAAGCUUUUCUUUUCAAUCCUGAUGUAGGAUUGCCCGUAUUAAUCAAUGGAGAAUAACCAUAAUCACUUUCGACGAAAAGUUGAAGCUCGGGAUCAUAUAGCAAAUUAGGAUUUGUAGACACAUAAUUAAGCCAUGAUUGUAAGCCUGAUUUUAAGUAAAUUAAAUCCUCCUUUAUUCCG